UACGUAGGGGGCAAGCGUUGUCCGGAAUUAUUGGGCGUAAAGGGCGCGCAGGCGGUCUUUUAAGUCUGAUGUGAAAUCUCGUAGCUUAACUACGAGCGGUCAUUGGAAACUGGAAGACUUGAGGACAGAAGAGGAGAGUGGAAUUCCACGUGUAGCGGUGAAAUGCGUAGAGAUGUGGAGGAACACCAGUGGCGAAGGCGACUCUCUGGUCUGUAACUGACGCUGAGGCGCGAAAGCGUGGGGAGCGAACAGGAUUAGAUACCCGUGUA
rnacentral:rRNA from 1 species